GAUGAAGAACACAGCGAAAUGCGAUAAGUAGUGUGAAUUGCAGAAUUCAGUGAAUCAUCGAAUCUUUGAACGCACAUUGCGCCCCUUGGUAUUCCAUGGGGCAUGCCUGUUCGAGCGUCAUUUGUACCUUCAAGCUCUGCUUGGUGUUGGGUGUUUGUCUCGCCUCUGCGUGUAGACUCGCCUUAAAACAAUUGGCAGCCGGCGUAUUGAUUUCGGAGCGCAGUACAUCUCGCGCUUUGCACUCAUAACGACGACGUCCAAAAGUACAUUUUUACACUCUUGACCUCGGAUCAGGUAGGGAUACCCGCUGAACUUAAGCAUAUCAAUAAGCGGAGGA
rnacentral:misc_RNA from 1 species